AAUAUUGUCAUUUUUAACAUUGUGUCCUGGUUCAAGCACCCGACUGUGAGCAUGAUGAAGCUUUCCAACAGCCUAACUGGGUGGUACAAUGAGAGCCUGCAAACUAACACAACUGAGCUGUCAGCACUGCUGUGGAGGUCCAUUUCUGCCCGUUCAAGAAAUAAAAUGAGCUGAUCUCAUAAUAUCCACUUUCCAUCCAUAACAGGUGGAGACAGACCACCAUCAAAGACCGACGGUGUCGUAGGGAGGAAGUGUAUGAAACCGUCAUCAUCAUUAUCAGAACCAUCUCAAUCACCAUCAGCAUUAUUGUGUCCAGGAUCCUGCCGCUUCUGCUCUGUCCCCGCCGGCAGCUGCUCACAGGCUCGAGGCUGACCUCAGCGGAGUCCCGUGAAAGGUGCACUGCUGCCGACCUUUAACGGGACUCCAACGGUGGGCGGUGGGCCAAGUUAGACAUGUGUUCCAGGGGGAUGGGGAUGCAGAAGGAGGUUCCCAGGCUCUCCACGCAUGAGUCCCAGCAUGCCGAGCAGAGGAAAUUACCAGGUUCAUUUCUACACAGAAUGAUUGAAGAGAGCUGUUAAAUGAUGCUACUGCUACUGUCUGAGUCCUGCAUGGUGGAGAUGAUGCACAUGAUUGCCACCCACCAUAAAACAAAGUAUUCUUCUUUUAGACAUCUUCACAGUCAUGGUUACAGCCUCUCGCUCUGUCACCAUACAUUUGAAUUUUGAGUGUAAUUCUUUUGGCAACAGAAACCAAAAAUCAAAAUGAUGCCAAAAUGUAAGAAUUUUCUUUAAUAAUUAUAAAAAAUAAAAAAAUCUGCACUUAAUAUGAUUAUAUUUCUGUUGUGAAGUCUUAAGGUCAUGAUAAGUGUAUGGUGAGUGUGACAUCACGACAGCCCUCUAGACACCUUGGACACGAGCAGCUGAACAAGAACUCACAAGAACCUCACUGUUACGGGCCAAAUAAGGAUUUCAAUCAGUAAAUGUGCAUCCUUGUGCUCUACAACAGUGUAGCCUAGCUCAAAAUACACAUGUACAGACUGAUAAUGCACUUGACAUCAUGAUCGAUCGGAGGAAGUCAGCUCUGCAGCGUCCACGCUCGCAAAUUUAACUCAUAGUUCUGACAUUUUCCCACAUUCUUUUAGAAUAACAAUUGAAACACCUCUCCCAAACAGCAUCAUUACUCAACACAUUUUCUUUUCAUUUUUAUACUCUAAAUGUACUAAAGAGAACUUUUAUCUGCUUAUGAAAAAGUGUCAAUCAAUACUGACCAUCAGGGAGAAGGUUGGCUAGUUCUGCCUAAUUAAUGCCUGUCAUCGGGUUGGAUUCUGACUCUUUUGUCCAAAGGAGCCACCAGAAUCAUCAAAACAUUCAUGUUCUCGGCAGCAGUCCUCAGUGUUCUACUCUCCUGAUUUACAAAAACAUAUGACACUUUGAAGAUACUCUUGAUUUUAAUUCAUUCAGUAGCCUCAUUCUCUAGGCAGGCAUCAAAAUUACAUCACUGUUUCUUACCAAAGACUUUGACUGCAGCAGUAUGACCAGAAGAACACAACACAACUCAUCCCUCAACUCGGCCCUGUAGGAGGAUUUUUACUGUCACCAUCACCAUCAGAGCCGAGCUCACAAUAAAACACAAGUACCACUUCUUCAUUGAACAUUUCCUUUAUUGAAGUAAUCAUCCUGCUAAAAAGCUGAAGGUGGGUGAGCAAUAAGGAAAAGUGUCAGUUACCGAGGGGUUGUGGUGCCUUGCUCAGAAGCAGAGUGGGGCAGGCUGGAGGGUGCAGGGUAGAGGCUGGGCCCAGCUGACCGAUGCCCUUUCAUUAUUGCACUGCUUGCUGCAGCUCCAACAGUAGUGCAACAGGGAAAGAGUGUCAAGCAGAGAGCGUCCUGGAGAUGUCGUCCGCAGACACACAGUCAGUGUCUUCAACUUGUUCAGUCUUUAACCAGCACUUCUCUGACUGUCCCUGCUCCGCUCAGUGUGUGCUAAUUCUGAGGAGUCACUCUACAAUUCAUUGCACUAUACUUUGAAAGACUUUAGGCAGGACCAAAAGAAUAUAUAUAUGAUAACAUGGUGUCAUGACAUUUGAUUAAAUGUACUGUUCGCAUGCUAUGACCACUGUAUUUUUACCAGUAAGAAAACAAUGUUUUCUCAAUUGUGAAAAUGCAAAUUCAUUCGAAACUCAAUUCAUAUUAGUAUUAUACCUUUUUAUGUAGUCAUUUUUCAGAAAGCAAACUAAUUGAUCAAAAGUCAUGAGGGUGCUUACUUUGCUUUUCCUUUAUUUUAAUAAUUGUAUAAUUCCUUAAUAGUAUCAUGUUUAACACCACUGCCUCCAAACCUGGAAAGUGACACUUAACAGGGCCAUUCCUAGUCUCCCCCAUCAGUCAGGCUGAUCAGGCCGGUAAAGUGCUCAACACAUGCACAGGCUCAUCAUUUCAUAUUCAGGCUUGUUGAGGUGAAACGUUAAACAGUAUUCUCAGACAGUCAAAGAAUUUUAAAUCAGUUAAUAUUAAAGCUACAACUGAAGAUUUCAUUAAUAAUGUUAGGACUUGUUGUUCUACUACAGGGGUGUCCAAACUUUUCCCUUCUGUGGGACAAAACUGAAAAAAAAUGGAGAAUAAGUUCCCUGCACAUAUUAACAUAUUGUUUUACUUAGACAAAGUCUCUCUCUCUCUCUCUCUCUCUGUCUCUCUGUCUCUCUCUCUCUCUCUCUCUCUCUGUCUCUCUCUCUCUCUCUCUCUGUCUCUCUCUCUCUCUCUCUCUCUGUCUCUCUCUCUCUAGUACUAACAUUAAUUGGAUGGACACACAAAAGCCUGGACAUUUCCCUCACAGCAGAUGUUAAACUCUGUCACAUAGUAUCACACUGUAUACUGAAUGUCAGUAGUGUCUGUGUGACAUCGGCUGCAUAACACACCAGAGGAGGAAGAUCAUCCCUCAGAGCCAAGACCCUAUAAGCAAUAUUGCACUACUGUAUCAACUCUAGUAAAAGCAGAGGCAACAUUGAUAGGGUCUAGUCUGCGAGGUGAUGUAGACGAGACAGACAUCAGAGAAGAGACCACAGGUUACCACAGUAGACACAGUUGGGAGGAAGUGAAUAUCAGCUGCCCAGUAUUCUUUACAAAGAUAGUUGGUAAUGGUAAUGUUGUGAAAUAACUUAUCAUUGACUGCUAGAUCAGUAAAACAGUACUCACACAACAGUCAUUUUGUACAUUUGGUAGCCACACCAAAGCCAUGUAGCCAGAGUUAUAUGAGGUUAGUAUUAAAACCACUCAAAAACCACUCUUGUUGGACAUGUUGGACAGUGCAUGCAUUUGCACUUUAUGUUCUAUUACUGGCUGCGGAAAUCUUGUACAGAACUAUAGGUGUGCUUCUGUGUUUGCACACCAUAUUCUAUACUGCCUGCUAUCUAUCUAUCUAUCUAUCUAUCUAUCUAUCUAUCUAUCUAUCUAUCUAUCUAUCUAUCUAUCUAUGGACCACAAGUCUCCAUAUUUCCAUUUAUCAGGGUUGAGGAAAUAGUUGGGUUAUAAUAAACGGAAAGGCCUUCUGGGUAACCUCUUUUAUCUGUCAGUAGCAGAAACCCUGACCCUCAUUAAAAACAAAAACUUUGGAGACGAAAGCCAUAACAAAUUCUACCCUCUUUUUCCCCCUUUUGCUCUUUUAAAAAUGGUCAGAGGCCUUGGCACAUGUCUUAGACCUGCUGUAAGCACACAAGCAGCUCACUAUGAGGUGAAAAAAACCACUUCUUUAUGACUUAUGCUUAUGCUGCAGGUUACAGUCACAAACAUUGAACAUGUUCAAUUUAAUUUGCCUUAUAUUUGUCUUAUUCAACAAUUUAGUGAAGUAAAGCCUUGUUUCACCUCGAGUGACUCUUUUUAGCAGAAUGAAUUCAUAUAGAACAAUCACCUCAACAUUCUGUCAGGAGUGUGACUUUUCAUCGUUCGGUGUGUUAUUUUUACAGCUAUGAGAUGAUGUUAGGUCUACAGAGGGGUUCACAGAUGAACUUUCAUUCUGUUUACAAUUGGAAUUAUCAUGCCACUUGGAGCCUGUUAGCGUACAGAUCAGGGCUGCAACCAUCUACAGUAUUUAUUAUUUAUUAAUCCACCAUUUUUUCUUUCAAUUAAUCAAUUGUUCAAUAGAAUCUCUGAAAAUAGCACGAAAAGUCCCAAGUUCCCAGACAUGACAGCUACAUCUGCAAAUGUCUUCUUUGUCUGAUCAACAGUCCAAAACACACACACACAUAUAUAUCACAGAUAACACAUAUUCCAUUUACAACAACAGAGUUUGGCCAUUUUUGCUUAAGAAAUUUGAAAAAUAACUUAACAUGAAAUACUAUGAAUCAUUUCUUGUUCAGCUAAUCAAGCGCUCAACUAAAGCUGUGCUUAGAUGGCAGGCCAAUCAGAAGUGUGCCAACCUUUCUGCAUGUGUUAACAAUGUAGGGUGUCGGAAAGUAAUGCACACUGUUGAUGCAGCUUUACAGCAUGGAAGCAUGAAAAAUAGAGAUCUAUAAUCUUGUGGUUCCACACAAACGCACAGUCCGGUGGCUUUGAAGAACUCCAUCACACCACACCGCUUGAAAUACAUAUUGUUCAUCUAACCAUCCAUCUUGAUCUUAAACAUUUAACAGCUACCCUAUACCCUCUAACCUAACCUGCAACAUCAAGAUCAAUCAUAGAGUUUGCUUUGAUAGGAGGAGCAAAUCAUGUUCAUCAAAUGAUGACUUGACUUCCCUACACCACUGAUGUUAUGCUUUUGGCAGUUGCUCUCAUACACUUACAUUAGGCGUAUGACUUUUUGGCAAUCUCACAAUUUGAUCAGAUUUUGUGUCCAAUCUGAACCAAAAUCACUUUUCGAUUCAAAAAAAUUGUUGAUUCAAAAUUGAUCGUUGAUUGAAUGCGUGCUUAACCAUUAAUUGGGGUCCUCAAUCUGCUAAAAAACGAGACACUGUCUGCACCAUUUUUUAUCUUGAAAUUUUGAACAUUUUAAAUUAACAGCAAUAAUUAAUGAUUUCAUUUGGGAGCACCUAUGCGUGCAUGUGGACAACAAAAUAAGUGUGAUCUACUGUCUUAUUAUUGUUGUUAGUCUGCUGAGCAUAAGACGCGCUUUUGAGUUAAAAACAGACCGAGGUAUUGUCUUCACCACAGAGUUUGUUCAAUGUAAUGGAUACUGCGAUGUCUUUUUGUUAGCUUGUUAGCAGUUGUCAGCUGAUCUUGUGUGUAACUGCUGACCGUCGCUCCACUCCAAUAACAUUAUGUUGAACCACUCAGUACGGUAUUAAAAGGUGUUCACAACCACAUGGCCUGCUCAAUGUCGUCAUUAAACUUUAGCAAAUAGAUUUGACAUUUGUAAAUAGAUUCAGACAUUUUUUGACACAGCCCUAAAUUAUAGCAGGACGAAGAUAUGAUUUAUUGUCAUCACUGCAUGUCUUGAUGCAAAAGAGACUUUGAAAUCCAGAGUGUCUAGUCUGAGACGUAUCAAAAAACCACCUCCAAAUGUACCUUCGAUCCUGUUCACACAAAUUGUUUUUGCUGUCCAGAUUUCAGUCUUAUUCUGGAUAGCCCCCAACCCCCUCUGUACAUGAUGUGUCACACAUAGCACCUGGAGGCUCUCUGAGUGAUAAGAUCACAAGGUUCAGGUGUGUUUAUACCUGGAUCUACAUAUUGCUGAACAUGACCACUGUGGAGACACGUUAAUGGCAGCU